UCUUCGUUGAUAAAGUGGAAUAAUACGUGUCAAAUGCAUCCAAAAUCGAGGUUCUGUUUGGCAAGUCCUGGGUUCAAAUCCCAGACGAGGAA